CCGUUAUUCUCUGAGCUUGAUAAGACGGCGCGGCGCACUCACAUCACAGGACUUUCAGUUUAGUUCCCGCUUUUGAAGUGACUUCAGUGGUGGCUUGGACUCUAGCACCAUUUUCUGUGUUUCAUUGUGCUCUCUAGAUAAGUUUUGUGAUGUGUACGGCUUGUACCGUGGAUGCAUUCUUGUGAUUAAAACAUUGAAAUAGGUACCUACUUAAUACCUAAUUGACUAACUACCUCAUACAAUAAAAUACCUAGUUACCUGCUACUAAAGGUAGAUAUUUAGGUAUGGGGUCGUGUUGUUCAUCUUUGGAGGAGCCGUCACCACCGUACAAUGCGACAGCGACACCCAAGAGAGAUUACUAUACGCCGGAGCAGCCCCCAGCGUACGCCCCAAGAGCCAUAACAGUGCGCAGAGAUUAUUCUACGAGGGAGCUGCGAAGUGGAGACUUAACGAAGGAUCCAGACAGCUCGAAAGACCAUCCCAAGGAGUUCUGUGGCAAAUGCCGAGCUCUAGGCCGGUACUGCAAUCCGGGGGCUACUAAGAUUAAGCAACGU